rnacentral:lncRNA from 1 species
AAAAAGCAGGACACUGAUGAUGGUUGCAACCGCCGCCCCCCCCUCCCCGCACCUGCCCCAUUGCAAGGCCAGUGUAGACAUACUUUUCAUGUCGUGGAUCUGGGAUCAAACUUAGGCUGGUGCACCUUUACCUUCAGCCAUCAUCAAGCCAGAGCUUUGAGAUAUUUCAAUCUUAUGAAGCAACAAGUCUCAAAGAAUCAAAGGAUGACAAGUUUUGUGCAAACAGGGGUUGGUUCAUACAUUGUUUUAGUGAUCUUUUUUUUUUUUUCAAAAUUUAAAAAAUUUUUAUUAAAGUAUAAUUGACAUACAGCGUUGGGUCAAUUUCUGCUAUAUAGUAUAGUGACCCAAUCAUAUUACAUUGUAAUUACUAUUACAUUUAGAAUGGUUCAUGCACUUUCAAAGGACGAGGGCUGACUUGUAUAACACUGUUGUAGACUGAAGCUGCAGGUGCUGAUGAGAUGACAGUUCAAGAAAGCAGAAACUUUGCUUUGAAGGCAGCAAAAAAGACAAAUAACAUGUUUGCUUAAUGCUUAUUCUUGUUAGCAGGAAAUAUAACAUUUAGAGAAAAAAAUCUAUCAAACAAUUAUCCGAGGAUCAAUUUUUUUUUAAAUAUCACAAAUUGAUCAUCUUCCUACCAAAUUAUCUCAACUAUUCCUGGGCAAAUUUCCCCAGAGAAGCCCCUUUGAAUUCUCUGACCUCAAUAGUAUUCUUUCCCCUCUGGGUUUGUUGCAACAAACGCUAGGAGACAUUGUAAAGCAGGAUGAGAGAAAGCUCUGUGAUACACUGUACCCAACGCCAGAUUAAAUACGGUUUUAUGGGGUUGGGUUCUGUGUGAUCUGUUAAAGUCCUGUGGUAUAUGCACUUUAGAAAUCAUUUCCUUGUACCGAGAUAUCACUUGUGGUUUGUGGUUGUUUCCAUAACAAGUUUGCCAUUCUGGUUUUUCUCCAGAAAUGCGACCGUCUGGUAGACCAGUGGCUUGCUUCUGCAGGGUGGCUACACCUGGGUGUGUUACAGUCACUUGGGCGUUGGAUUGCAAGUGGGUCUGAAGUGUGUCAAUGGUUGCCUGUUUUUAAUAAUUAGAUCUGGUUCAAAAUUAUCCGUGUGAAAAUGCUGUUCUCAUUCCCUGCUAACUCGUCCUUUUUGGGGUACCAAAGUGCUGCUUCAUGGGAGAGAAAGAAUUUGCUCCUGGUGAUGCUUAGCUGGAUCUUGUUAGUUUGAGAGGAGUGCAUAGUGUGAGCAGAGGCAAGGGGGAAGAAAUGGAUGGAAAUUUCACAGAAGAAAAACAGUGCAGAGUGUCUGAAUUUGGAGAGGUCUUGGGAUGUGUAGCUGGACUGUUUGGAAGGAUCCAGCUGGAUGGCAGUGGGAUGAAACUCAGCCCCUGUAACUAGAACUUUAACUGGCUGUGUUGCUUCUCUCUAUGAUUUUCAUCAAUCUGUCAUAGUAUGUGCCCAAUCAAUUCCCUCUGACCACCCCUGAAUGUGAGUCUGUCACGGGGAGAUUUUCAGCAGCCCUAGGCUGGCUUGCCUCGUAGACUUCUGGCUCUUAGGUGUGCUUCUGUUUUCCUACAUUUAAAAAAUUGAGAUAUAAUUCACACACCAUAAAAACCACUCAUUUAAAAAUGCUAUUCCAUUGUGUGGAUACACCACAUUUUUUCUAUUCAUCAGUUGGUGGACAUUUGGGUUCUUUCCACAUUUUGGCUCUCAUGAAUAAUGCUGCUGUGAACAUUCAGGUGCAAGUUUGUGUGUGGGCAGAUGUUGUCAUUUCUCUGUAGUAUUCAUUUAGGAGUGUAAUUGCUGGGUUAUAUGGUAGCUCUUUGUUUAACUUUUGGAGACACUACCAAACUGUUUUCCAAAGUGGUAGCACCAUUUUAGAAUCUCGCCUGAAAGUAUGGCGGUUCCCACUUCUCCACUUCCUUACCAACACAUGAAAUUAUUUAUCUUUUUGGUUAUCCUUCCUAAGAUGUGUGAAAUAGUAUGUCAUUAUGGUUUUAAUUGGCGUUUUCCUAAUGACUAAUGAUAUUGAUCAUCAUCAUGUGUUUAUUAGCCAUUUAUUUAUCUCCUUUGGGAAAACGCCUAAUCAGAUUUUUUUGCCCACUUUCCAGUUGGGUUAUCUGUCUUUUUAUUAUUGAGUUCUAAGAGUUCUUUCUAUUCAUAUGAUUUGUAAAAUUGUAAAACUUGUAAAAUUUUUCCACAUUCUGUGGUUUGUCUUUUCAGUUUCUUGAUAGUCUUCGUAGAAGCACAAAAGAUUUUAAAACUUGACAGGUCAAAUUUAUCUCCUUUUUUUCUUUUGUUACUGGUGGGGACAGUACUGUUUUAAACGAAAGAACAGUCCAAAGAAAUGGCCACUGGCCAAUGGGGGUCUCUAGGGGUUAACAUGUGGCUGGAAUCCCAAAGCCAGAAAGACUGAAUUAUCUUUAAUCCUAUUACUGGAUUUAGAUAACGUUUUAGAAUUAGAUAAUCAUUAUCUAGUUGCCAACCAUUCUGUUGUUAACAUGGUAGAGAUACGGGCCUGAAAGAGAAUGAAAAGACUGUCACCUCUGGGUCUCUAUUUUCAAUGCCCUCGGAUUGCGGGGGUAGAGUAGGAACCUGGGGUUGGACAAGAGCAAGGGCAUUUUGCUGCACUUAAAAUCAGCUUUGAACUCAAAGGUUGAUUUCUAACUCACUGUUUAAACCUUUGGCCUUGAUUUGAAUCCAAUUUGCAUUUGAAAAUAAAGAGAGCCUCCAUUUGAGGGAGUCUAACCCACACUUUGAUUGUGAAAGUGGUUAAAAAUUGAACACAGUUUAGAAACAAACGAAUGCUAUUGACACCUCUAGCUUGGGAUCCUGCUGUAUAUGAAAUAUUGAAGCAAUUUAGAAGUUUGUUUUUAUUUAUUUAUUUAUUUAUUUAUUUUUCAAUUUAGAAGUUUUUAAAGUGAGUUCAUGGUUGUGCUGGAUAGAUCUUUGCUCAUUUCUGCAAUUUGCUCUUGAGGUGCUCUCUGCUUCCGAGCACUUUGCUCAGAGAAUCUUCAACCCUAAGAAUCGAAAGGAAUCUUAAGUCAUUUAAUCCAAACCCCGACUCCUUUUUCAAAUCUGCUUGCCAAUAAUGAGUGGAAUGUGGCAGGGAAAACGCCAGUAAGAACCAAGAGGGGACAGGCGGCUUAAGGAUGUUAUGCUUGCUUCAGGCAGGACGGAUGCUAAGGAAAGAGAGAGGAAGCAAGUGGGGAAGGAUGCUGAGCUAGAACGAAAUAAAUAAGGUUUGCAAAGUCCAAAGGGGAAGGCCAGCUUUUGAGACUUAGUUGUGUAAAAAGGAGUUAUUUUCCCAAAAUCCUUCCAGCUACAUUUCAUCAUUCCCUUCUCUGGGGUUGUGUCCUGUUUAAUUAGAACGCUUUUCUAGCACCAGUCACUAUCUGUUAUUUUUGAACAUAUCUAUGUGUCUUGCCAGACCGGGAGCUCCUGGAGAAAAAAGCCAUGCCCUCACUUGCCUAGCCUUUCCAGUCCCUGACUCUUAGGGACUUGGAUGAUAAUAUUGUGACAUGGCUACAAAUACGGGCUUUAGGGUCAGUAAGGCUGACUCUUGGCUUCAGUAGCUCCAGAUUGGACACGUCUCCCUGGCUUUGACUAGCUGUGUGACCUUGGGCAGGUCACUGAACCAGUCUUCGUGACCUUAUAUGUAAGAGGAAGAAUGACAGCCCCCCCCCCAGAUAAGGAUGAGCACUGAGCCGAGUUCCUGGCACUUGGCAAAUGAUUGCUGCUGAGAUUCAGCUUAUAGGCCUCAAGAAAUGCUUGCUGGGAUUAUUGGCGAGGGGCAGGUGGAAGAGCUCCAGACCUUGGGGCACGGCUCCAGCUGGCUGCUGGUAGUGCUAAAGCCACCUUAAUUCUGGAGCCUCAAAGUGGUGACUUGCUGACUCGAGUCAACUGGGCGACCCAAGUUUAGCUAACUUAGUAGCAUGGUGCCCUGUUACUAUGGAGAUCUCUUUGGUUUGGUUCACCUGACCCGUAAUCCAGGGUAACAGGUUAGAUUUUCCUGGUGCUGUCUCCCAGCUUCUGCGGGGGGAGGAGACAGGUGGAAGUCAACCUAAGGAGUCAGGAAGCAAACCUGUGCUCCCUUCUCCCUUCCAGGGCCUAAGGAAUAGCUUUUAUCUUUGGGGUCCUUGGGUAGUUUUCCCCAGAUGGAAUGGCAGGUUGCCUUGUGAUUGGUAAUCGUAGUCGUGAUUGUGAUUGCUGUCAUGAAUCAUUUCUUCAACAAGUGCCUCUGGGUCUCCUCUCUGCUGCGUGUUAGGGGGAAGGGGAACGAAGGAGAUAGAGUCUUGUCCCAGAAGAGCACACAGCCUAGUGUGGGUGACCAGGCGUUACCAGAGUGUGGUGAGUGUUCUUGUGGGAAAAGUACACAGGUGUCAUGGGAGCGCAUUCCCAUCCUUGGGACUUUUCAGAAACUUCUGGAAGACAUGCCUCCUGAUCUGAGUCUUGCAAGAGAAACCAAGUUGUUAGACAAAACCAAGAAUGGGAGUUCCAUCCAAUUAAAGGGAGAGGCGCAUGCAAAGGCAAGGAGGUGAGAGAUGAGUUUGACUGCAGUGUAAGAUGUUAUAUAUAGAAUAUGAUUAUUUUUAUGGCAGGUAACAAUAAUACAGCAUUUGUCGUAGUCAGACACUGCGUUCACUGUUUAACAGUUUAAAUUUAACCUCUUUAAAUGCCAAAGCAAGAAAGCUAAUAAUUGUAACAGCUAAAAUAUAAUGAGUACACCUCAGACGUCAGGCACUAGACCAAGGGGACUUUUGGCAUGAUCUAACUUAGUCUUCAUUAUUCCUCCCAAUACACAGAUCAGGUAACCGAGAGAUUUCAGUCAUUGGCCCCAGGUCGCAUUGGUGGCAAAUGGCCAAGCUGGGAUUUGAACACAGAAACUGUCAUUAGGCUACAAAGAGGCAGCCGUUUCCUCUCAGUGCCGGUUGGGCAGAUGCCACAUUGGUGAAGAAUGAUCCCACAUUAUGCAAGACUGCCUGGCCAUCAACUCAGCCUCCUGGGAUUCUUUGUGGAAUUAAGGCAGGUUGUAAUAAAAUAGCGCACACGCAAUGGACCCAGAAGCCAGCAGAGAAGUGCUAACUGCUUUACUCCUGAAGAAACGUCUGUCUGCACAAGGAGUUGAAAGAGUUCAGAAAAUGUUAUUAGGUGGCAUCUCCGCAUUCAUGAGGAACUCCGGGGUCCUGCAAGGUCUUUUUAGAAACACUGAAGUCCCAGCUAGCCAGAGUCAACAAAGCAUCGCAAAUUGGGUUCUAAUGCCAGUGGUGAGCUCUUUGUGUGACAGAGCUCAGUCUUGCUUCCAGGCCAUCAAAAGCCAAUUUCCGGAGUUCCCGUCAUGGCUCAGUGGUUCACAAACCCGACUAGUAUCUAUGAGGACUCGGGUUCCAUCCCUGGCCUUGCUCAGUGGGUUAAGGAUCCGGUGUUGCUGUGAGCUGUGGUGUAGGUCGCAGACUCGGCUCAGAUCCUGUGGCUGUGGCUGUGGCUGGUGGCAGCAGCUCUGAUUCCACCCCUAGCCUGGGAACCUCCAUAUGUUGCGGGUGC